AUUGAACGCUGGCGGCAUGCUUUACACAUGCAAGUCGAACGGCAGCGCGGGCUUCGGCCUGGCGGCGAGUGGCGAACGGGUGAGUAAUACAUCGGAACGUGCCCAGUAGUGGGGGAUAGCUCGGCGAAAGCCGGAUUAAUACCGCAUACGACCUGAGGGUGAAAGCGGGGGAUCUUCGGACCUCGCGCUAUUGGAGCGGCCGAUGGCCGAUUAGCUAGUUGGUGGGGUAAAGGCCUACCAAGGCGACGAUCUGUAGCUGGUCUGAGAGGACGACCAGCCACACUGGGACUGAGACACGGCCCAGACUCCUACGGGAGGCAGCAGUGGGGAAUUUUGGACAAUGGGCGAAAGCCUGAUCCAGCAAUGCCGCGUGUGUGAUGAAGGCCUUCGGGUUGUAAAGCACUUUUGGCGGGAACGAAAAGGACUGUGCCAAUACCACGGUUCGAUGACGGUACCCGCAGAAUAAGCACCGGCUAACUACGUG
rnacentral:rRNA from 1 species